rnacentral:lncRNA from 1 species
CUGGAUUCUACAGCCUUUUGUCCAGUCUCAUGUUGACUAUGCAAAGUUUUCAAAUGUGGAUAGGGGAUUUGAAUCAAAACCUUUGAACGUUCUUUCCUGGCUCAGUCUUAAAUGAGUUAGAUGGUUACUGUGUUAACUUUUGUAUUUGAGUUCAUGGACGGUGUAACUUCUCCGUCAAGGCAGCAGAGUUUCAAACAGAGGCAAGAUGUGGGAAAAUCCAAAACAGUAGAUUGCUACCUCCUCUGUCAACCCAAGCAAGCAAUCAUCAGCCAGCAGCAUGUAUUAUGA